UACGUAGGUGGCGAGCGUUGUCCGGAUUUACUGGGCGUAAAGGGCUUGUAGGCGGUCCGCUAAGUCUGGUGUGAAAUCUCCCGGCUCAACUGGGAGGGGUCAUCGGAUACUGGCGGACUUGAGGGGGGUAGAGGAAAGCAGAAUUCCUGGUGUAGCGGUGAAAUGCGUAGAUAUCGGAAGGAACAUCAGUGGCGAAAGCGACUUCCUGGACCAAUACUGACGCUCAUGUGCGAAAGCGUGGGGAGCAAACAGG
rnacentral:rRNA from 1 species